AUGCUCAUGCUCAUGCUCAUGCUCAUGCUUUCGCUUUCACUUUCACUCUCCUCUACAUUACCAUUCCCAAAAUCAAAAGCAGCAGAACAGAGCAGAGCGGCGGCUAUCUGCCUCGCUGUAUCUAUUCUCCACUGAUUUCUAUCGCUCUCUAUCCAAAAUAUGGUUGGACCACCGAGGCCUCAAUUUGUGCUGUUUGGAUCGUCAAUAGUUCAGUUCAGCUACAGCAACCAUGGAUGGGGCGCUAUUCUCACCGACUUGUACGCUCGCAAGGCAGAUAUAUUGUUGCGAGGAUACUCAGGUUGGAAUUCAAGACGAGCUCUGCAGGUUUUGGAUCAAGUUUUUCCAAAGGAUGCUGCUGUACAACCUUCACUGGUGAUAGUCUAUUUUGGAGGUAAUGACUCGAUCCACCCUCAUCCAACUGGCCUUGGCCCUCACGUACCGCUUCCUGAAUAUAUCGAUAACAUGAGGAAGAUCGCUAUACAUCUCCAGAGCCUUUCAGAGAAGACUCGAGUUAUCUUUCUGAGUGCUCCUCCUGUGAAUGAGGAGCAAAUUGGCAAAACCCUGAGUGAUAAAUUCAAUAUGGUUCGAACAAAUGAAAGCUGCAGAAUAUAUUCAGAAGCUUGUCUAGAGCUGUGCCGUAGUAUGAACGUGAGGGCAAUUGAUCUUUGGACUGCAAUGCAGCAAAUAGAUGAUUGGAUGAACGUUUGCUUUACGGAUGGAAUCCAUUUUUCUGCCGAGGGUUGCAAGAUUGUUGUAAAGGAGAUCGUGAAGGUUAUUGAAGAGGCUAACUGGGAACCAAGUUUACAUUGGAAAGCAAUGCCUACUGAAUUCGCAGAGGACUCCCCUUAUGAUCCAGUUAAUCAGGAUGGGGCCACUGUGAACGUCUCAGAAUCAGACUUCCACAGAACCAUAGAAUGGGAUGAACCCUAGUAACCACUCGUUUCUUUAUUCAGGCAUAUGAACUGCAGAGCCCUUAAUCGUCAAGUCUUGCUCUUUAAUCAUUGGAAUCAAAGCUUAUUUGGAAUAAUACUACAAAUAUACAUUUAUAAUUUUACAAAGCAGGAGAGAAUGGCAAGGCGCAUAAUCCUGUAGUCAAUAUUGUCAAAAACUUACAUUGUUGCAAACAUUGCAGGGAAAUAAUAUCUUUUUGGACAAACUAUUCGUACGCCCAUAAAUUUCUUAACCCAACCAUAAAUCUUCUUUGCAGAUGAAGCUCAAAAUCUUCCAGUACAUCAAUGUAUCAAACCACCACGUCAACAUGAUCAUGUAAACUGUAAGAUCUUUUUGUUCUCAAAAGUUAUAUUACAUCAAGAAGUUAUAAAAACCCAUCUCUCACUUGUGCUAAAGAGUAAUUCGUACAUGCCCAAGCCACUGUAUAAACUUUAUCCAUACAAAGAAUAAUACAUACAAAAGGUGGAAAACAAGCAGAAACAACAGCAGCACUCACCAUGCCACUGCCUCCAUAGCUGCCCAAUUUUACUCAGAUGAUCUCGGCCUGCCUCUCUAAAACUUUCAACAUAAACAAAACUAGGCCAUAGACAUGCAUCCAGAUAUGAACAACACUUCCCUGAUACAACAGAAAACUCUUGAGGACUCCAAGUGGGUGUAUGCACUUCUGCUCAAAAACAUGCCUUAGGAAGAAAGCUGGAACCUGCCACUUGGCUUUUUUCUUCUCCAUCCGAAGGCAGCAUAAUACACAAAAGUCAAACCCGCUAGAACAAUAAAUGCGAUUUGGAAAACAUUAUACUUGUACAAAUAUUUAAUUCCCCGUAGAGACUGCAAUGUGUGGCCAAAAAUCUCCUGUGCAGCAGUUGCUUGAGCAUAGUAGCCAAAUGCUGUAGCACAGAACUGAAUCACACUAAUGGAGCAAAGAAGAAUGAGUGCAACAUUGAAAAGAAAGGAGUUCAUUAAUGUAGCUCCCCACUUCAUGGGAUGAAUUGUGAUGAAAACUAAUCUCAGGCCCAGCAUCAUUGCCCCAGCUAUCACUGCAAGCAGAAGGUAGAAGCAGAAGAAUGCAAAUGCCACAGUACCCAGAAGACCCCAUAUAUCAUCCAACUUAAUGAAGACCUCAUUCAGAAAAGGAGAAAGAGGUGGAUCAAUCAAUAGAUAUAUAACAAUAUGAGCCACCCAAGCCACCGAAACAAUCAACCCUAAGAUCCCCAACACAAGUUUUGCCAGGUACCCAAGAACAGUCAAAGCCCAAGCGGUCUCAGCCUUUUCUCCUUGAGGAUACAUCUCUUCUAACAGCUUGACAUCUUCUUCUAACUGAAGCAACUCCUUCUCUACUGCCUUCACAUUUUUACGCCAUUUUCUACCCUUAGAACCACUUCUUUCUUCCUGAUGGAGUGCAUCAGCUGCUUUCUUCAAUUCUUUUGCUUUUUUACCAAGUUCAGUUGCUUCCUUAAUAUACUGUGAGCGAGUGAUAACAGCCUUCGGACGCCGGAUGAAAGAAAAUAUAAGUCCCAAUGGCAAACAAGCAAUACCAACACCUCCAAAUAUCUGACAAACAUUCAGAAAAGAAUGGUCAGAAAUAUAUUCAUAAAAAAAAAACGCUGGAUGGAAUCCACACUUACAUGAGUAGUUCACAUAUAUGCAUACACACACCAUCUAUAUACAGAUGACCCGGUGCACGAAGUAGGCCACACUUGUGAGCUUUGGGGUGAGUUGAAGUAUGCAACCUUACCUCUACUUCGCAGAGAGGCUGCUUCCGUUGGCUUACCAUCAUACCAAAACCACCCUCAUACACCAUCUAUAUAUUUUUCCACUAUAAUCUUUUAAUAUUUCAGCAUAUUUCAUUGACAGUUUUCCACCAAUGGCUCUUGAUGAUGAAAUCAUAAAAGGACAGUGUGUCAUUGUUAAAGUUCAAUUCUGGUUUUAGGUUUAAGUACAAAAGUUUUCAAUAAAAACAAAAUCUAAACGUCUGCAUAAGUGAUUAUACCGCAAAAAGUACAGAUCCAACAAUUGUAGCCAGAGCAACAACAUAUUCUGGAAACGUGGUGCGCAUAGUCCAUGUUUUCUCUGAGGAAGGACUUGCAAGAUAUGCAGAGCACUGCCGUGCGCCACUUCCAAUACAUGGCUGACCGCUAGAAAAGUCCCAAGUACUCGGAAAGUUAGUUGUGGUUGAAGAGAGGUGCAUGACAGUGAAGUCCACCUUUCCAACUAGCCCAUAUAGAAUGCCAAGUAGAAGACCGCAUACAAUUGCCGUAGUUAUCACCCACAACAAUGCGCUUUUUAUCCUUUGCCCAACACUCUUGUCCUGGUCGCCUUCAUAGUAGAACAUCGCGAAGGGGAUAACGAAGAACACGAGCACAGCAUCGAUAAUAUAGACAGCGAUCCAUAGAUCUUUCAUUGGCAAGGUAAGACUACAAGCGCCAUUGUAUAUCGCGUGGCGACACGCCUGCCGGUUAGCUACGUCGGCCGGUAACAUCAAUAUUGAAAUGAGAGCGACGGAGAGGCCCAAAACGACCACGAAUUUGGGGAAAUACGCCUGGUUCUUGUCAUCUGGAUGCUGGUAAUUGACCAGAAGGUACACAUUGAAGAUAAAAACGAUAAUGCACACCACUAUAGCGACAAUAACUAGAGCGAGAUUGAAAUCGCCCAUCGCUUAAGCUCUCGAUUCGAAGUCGAAUCGAUUGAGAAAUUGAAAAAUUAAGGUUUUUUUCUUCUUGGAAUUGAAUGUUUGAAUUAUGUAGAUCUGGUUUUCUUGAAGGGAAUUGGGAAAGGGCGGGUUUGGCUCCGGUGAGGUCGUUUGUUGGAGGGUGAAUGACGUGUGGACAUUAAAUGACUAUUCUAUCCUUAAAAAACAGCCUAAUGGCAAAGAAGGGUGAGCUGGAUGUGGGGUUAAGAGUAAUUACAUAUUUUGCCCCCGUGUGUAUCAUUGAACAGCCUGUCCAGGCGAGACGAGCC
rnacentral:misc_RNA from 1 species